CCUACGGGAGGCAGCAGUGAGGAAUAUUGGUCAAUGGACGAGAGUCUGAACCAGCCAAGUAGCGUGAAGGAUGACUGCCCUAUGGGUUGUAAACUUCGUUUAUAGGGGAAUAAAAUGUUCCACGUGUGGGAUUUUGUAUGUACCAUAUGAAUAAGGAUCGGCUAACUCCGUGCCAGCAGCCGCGGUAAUACGGAGGAUCCGAGCGUUAUCCGGAUUUAUUGGGUUUAAAGGGAGCGUAGGUGGCUUGUUAAGUCAGUUGUGAAAGUUUGCGGCUCAACCGUAAAAUUGCAGUUGAAACUGGCAGUCUUGCUUACAGUAGAGGUGGGCGGCAUUCGUGGUGUAGCCGUGCCAUGCU
rnacentral:rRNA from 1 species